rnacentral:rRNA from 1 species
UACGUAGGGGGCUAGCGUUGUCCGGAAUCAUUGGGCGUAAAGAGCGUGUAGGCGGCUCGAUAAGUCCGCUGUGAAAGUCCAGGGCUCAACCCUGGGAUGCCGGUGGAUACUGUCGGGCUCGAGUCCGGAAGAGGCGAGUGGAAUUCCUGGUGUAGCGGUGAAAUGCGCAGAUAUCAGGAGGAACACCAACGGCGAAGGCAGCUCUCUGGGACGUUACUGACGCUGAGACGCGAAAGCGUGGGGAGCAAACAGG